UACGGAGGGAGCUAGCGUUGUUCGGAAUUACUGGGCGUAAAGCGCACGUAGGCGGCUUUGCAAGUUAGAGGUGAAAGCCCGGGGCUCAACUCCGGAAUUGCCUUUAAACUGCAUCGCUAGAGUUGUGGAGAGGUAAGUGGAAUUCCGAGUGUAGAGGUGAAAUUCGUAGAUAUUCGGAAGAACACCAGUGGCGAAGGCGACUUACUGGACACAUACUGACGCUGAGGUGCGAAAGCGUGGGGAGCAA
rnacentral:rRNA from 1 species